rnacentral:lncRNA from 1 species
UUUCUCCAAUUUUUUUUCUUUCAUAGCCAUUCUUCCUUCUCCCACGCCAAUAUCUCUUUCCAACCAAACCAGAUGACGAAGCCACCAUAAAAGUGAACCCAUGUCGAUACGAGUCUAUCUAAAGACUUUCAUGAGAGGAGAGAAAAAUCAGUAUUCGAAGUUUACGAUGGCUGCUUCUUUCUUUUUCCAAAUUCUACCAUCUUUCGCCACCGAUUGACGCUGCCAGCUUCAGCAACAAGUUCUUCAGCCUCUAACUCUCUCUCCUCUUUGCCUCGAUCUCCUAUGUAUUCAACCAUUGAUGGCAGAAGAGA